rnacentral:rRNA from 1 species
GACGAACGCUGGCGGCGUGCCUAAUACAUGCAAGUAGAACGCUGAAGGAGGAGCUUGCUCUUCUGGAUGAGUUGCGAACGGGUGAGUAACGCGUAGGUAACCUGCCUGGUAGCGGGGGAUAACUAUUGGAAACGAUAGCUAAUACCGCAUAAUAUUGACUAUUGCAUGAUAGUCAAUUGAAAGGUGCAAAUGCACCACUACCAGAUGGACCUGCGUUGUAUUAGCUAGUUGGUGGGGUAACGGCUCACCAAGGCGACGAUACAUAGCCGACCUGAGAGGGUGAUCGGCCACACUGGGACUGAGACACGGCCCAGACUCCUACGGGAGGCAGCAGUAGGGAAUCUUCGGCAAUGGACGGAAGUCUGACCGAGCAACGCCGCGUGAGUGAAGAAGGUUUUCGGAUCGUAAAGCUCUGUUGUAAGAGAAGAACGAGUGUGAGAGUGGAAAGUUCACACUGGAC